UAGGCUGCAACUCGCCUACACGAAGUCGGAAUCGCUAGUAAUCGCGGAUCAGCAUGCCGCGGUGAAUACGUUCCCGGGCCUUGUACACACCGCCCGUCACACCAUGAGAGUUGAGAAUACCCGAAGCCCAUGUCAAAGUGGUCGAAGGUAGGCUUGAUGAUUGGGGUGAAGUCGUAACAAGGUAGC
rnacentral:rRNA from 1 species